rnacentral:rRNA from 1 species
CAGCCGCCGCGGUAAUACGUAGGUCCCGAGCGUUGUCCGGAUUUAUUGGGCGUAAAGGGAGCGCAGGCGGUUUAGUAAGUCUGAAGUUAAAGGCAUUGGCUCAACCAAUGUAUGCUUUGGAAACUGUUAGACUUGAGUGCAGAAGGGGAGAGUGGAAUUCCAUGUGUAGCGGUGAAAUGCGUAGAUAUAUGGAGGAACACCGGUGGCGAAAGCGGCUCUCUGGUCUGUAACUGACGCUGAGGAGCGAAAGCGUGGGGAGCGAACAGGAUUAGAUACCCCGGUAGUCCCUGUCUCUUAUACA